GUCCUCAAGUUUCAUCCAUGUUGUAGCAUGUGUCAGAAAUUCCUUCCUUUUUAAGGCUGAAUAACAUUCCAUUGCAUGCAUAGACUACAUUUUGCUUCUCUGUCCAUUCGCUGAUGGGCACUUGGGCUCCUUCCACCUCUUGGCUGUUGUGAAUAGAGCUGCAAUGAACAUGGAUGUACAAAUAUCUGUUCACAUUGAGAUCUCUCUCCUUUGGAAAAGGCAGGGCAAAUGUGAAAAAAAAAAUCAUACUUUCCUGAUUUAUUGUGACUCAAAAUUUCCCACACCUACUUCUUAUUUUUGAAAAGUAGAUGUCACAAUUAGUAAAAAUCCUGAAAAUUUUGAGUGAAAUAUGUUAGGUGAUUUCCCUUCGUAAGAAUAUAAAAGAAGUAAAAUAAAAUGAUGCUGAAUCUUUA
rnacentral:antisense_RNA from 1 species